rnacentral:misc_RNA from 1 species
GAUGAAGAACGUAGCGAAAUGCGAUAAGUAGUGUGAAUUGCAGACUUUAGUGAAUCAUCGAAUCUUUGAACGCACAUUGCGCCCCUUGGUAUUCCGAGGGGCAUGCCUGUUCGAGCGUCAUAUUAACCACUCCCGCUUGCGGGGUCUUGGGCUUCGCCUCCGGGCGGGCCUUAAAAUCAGUGGCGGUGCCGUCGGGCUCUACGCGUAGUAAAUUUUCUCGCGAUAGGGUCCCGGUGGAUGCUUGCCAACAACCCCCAACUUCUUAAGGUUGACCUCGGAUCAGGUAGGGAUACCCGCUGAACUUAAGCAUAUCAAUAAGCGGAGGA